AUUAGGUUAGCAAAGAUAAGUGCGAAUAAUUUAGAAUUAUUAAACGAGAACUAAUCUCACCUAAU
rnacentral:tRNA from 1 species